UUGAUAAAAGCCAAAACAGAGGCGCAUCACUGUUAAUGAUGAGAUUGAAGUAACUUCUUAUCAAG
rnacentral:tRNA from 1 species